UACGUAGGCAGCAAGCGUUGUUCGGAAUUACUGGGCGUAAAGAGUGUGUAGGCGGUGCUCUAAGUUCGGUGUGAAAUCUCCUGGCUCAACUGGGAGGGUGCGCCGGAAACUGGGGUGCUGGAGCGCGGGAGAGGAAAGCGGAAUUCCUGGUGUAGUGGUGAAAUGCGUAGAUAUCAGGAGGAACACCGGCGGUGUAGACGGCUUUCUGGACCGUAGCUGACGCUGAGGCGCGAAAGCGUGGGGAGCAAACAGG
rnacentral:rRNA from 1 species